CAUGUGAAACUCAAUUGAGACAUCAUAAUCCUGAAGACUCACCUGUUAACAUGUGACAUUUCCUCUUUCCUUUGAAAACUUAUUGUAGAUUUACUCAACUCUUCCUGGAAAAUCAAGGCACUGAAGAAUUGAGAACACUUCACUCACUCAUUUAUUGGAACAACACAUCUAUUACUGACACCUUGCCGAGGAAGGGGAAUCUUACUUGAUCUUUGCCUAAACUCUCCCCUAAACUCUCAGAGCUGUGCCUGAAGAGGCAUGCGGGGAAUCAUGCACAUGCUGACAGUGGGAUGCCAGAGAUAAAGAAAAAUGGAAUCAUCACCAUUAGACCUAUCCUGCAAAAAAUGGAAAAGAUUUUAUUGAGGAAAUAAGAAAAAUGAUACAGGUCAAAAAUGUGGAUUUAUAUAAAAAAGGAAGUGCAUCAGAGAAGAAAUGCAUAAAGGUAAAUAAAGUUAAUUUUUAUCGUUUUUAAUAGAUCAAAAGUAACUUGUUUAUAUAAUUAAAUGUAUUUAUCUUUUUCUUAAUAAAUGGCAAAUAAAUGUUUAAAUAAUGAGUUAUAAUGUAUAUGGUGAUUAUAGCAUAUGAAAAAGUGAAAAGAACGGCAUUCAUGUAAAAAGGGGAAGGAAUAGUGUCAUUUACCUGCCCAAUUUGUCAUUUGCAGGUGUCAUUUGAAUGUGGCCUUACGUUAGUUUAAAAUCUAUGUGUCACCUCUAAGGAAAGCUCUAAAAUGUUUUUAAAGACCUGUAAUUGAUGCACUAAGAAGUGAAAAAAACUGGCUUUAUAUAAAAUGUUCAAUUAAAACCAGAGAACGCAGGAAAGUAAGCCUCUUGUAAUGAGUAGAAAACAGCUACAAACAUGGUUGAUAUCAAUGCAAGUGUUUCAAUAAGCACUUUAAAUAGGAAUGGUGUAUAAAUAGCAAUCAAAAUUCACAGUGAAUUUUAUUACAAGUGUAUAUUGUCCUCAAGCACCUAUUUGCAAUUCAGUGAUUCCGAUAGGCUAAAGUAAAGGUA